ensembl:snRNA U6 U6 spliceosomal RNA
GCGCUCAAUUCGGUGGCACAGACACUAAAACUGGAGUGGUACAGAGAGAACAUGUCCCCUGCACAGGGAAGACACACACAUUCACGAAGCAUUCCACAGUUAG